rnacentral:tRNA from 3 species
GCCGGGUUAGCUCAGCGGUAGAGCAGCGGUUUUGUAAACCGUUGGUCGGGAGUUCAAUCCUCUCACCCGGCACCA